UCGAACGCGAAAGUCCCGCAAGGGAUGAGUAGAGUGGCAAACGGGUGAGUAACACGUGGGUGACCUGCCUUCGAGCGGGGGAUAACGUCCCGAAAGGGACGCUAAUACCGCAUGACAUCCUGCCUUUUAACAGAUGGAGAUCAAAGCCGGGGAUCGCAAGACCUGGCACUCGAAGAGGGGCCCGCGCCUGAUUAGCUAGUUGGUGGGGUAACGGCUCACCAAGGCAACGAUCAGUAUCCGGCCUGAGAGGGCGGACGGACACACUGGGACUGAGACACGGCCCAGACUCCUACGGGAGGCAGCAGUGGGGAAUUGUUCGCAAUGGGCGCAAGCCUGACGACGCAACGCCGCGUGGAGGAUGAAGACCUUCGGGUCGUAAACUCCUUUCGAUCGAGACGAAUGGCCUCCGGGUGAACAAUCCGGAGGAGUGACGGUACCGAGAGAAGAAGCCCCGGCUAACUCCGUGCCAGCAGCCGCGGUAAUACGGGGGGGGCAAGCGUUGUUCGGAAUUACUGGGCGUAAAGGGCUCGUAGGUGGCCAACUAAGUCAGACGUGAAAUCCCUCGGCUUAACCGGGGAACUGCGUCUGAUACUGGAUGGCUUGAGUUUGGGAGAGGGACGCGGAAUUCCAGGUGUAGCGGUGAAAUGCGUAGAUAUCUGGAGGAACACCGGUGGCGAAAGCGGCGUCCUGGACCAACACUGAC
rnacentral:rRNA from 1 species